rnacentral:rRNA from 1 species
UCUACGGGUGGCAGCAGUGAGGAAUCUUGGUCAAUGGGCGGGAGCCUGAACCAGCCAAGCCGCGUGAAGGAAGAAGGCGCCAAGCGUCGUAAACUUCUUUUGUCGGGGCACAACGGGCGCCACGUGUGGCGUUGUGAGUGUACCCGAAGCAAAAGCAUCGGCUAACUCCGUGCCCGCCACCGCGGUAAUCCGGGGGAUGCGAGCGUUAUCCGUAGUUAUUGGGGUUCAAGUGUGCUUAGGCGGUCCGGAAAGUCAGCGUUAAAAGCCCGUGGCUCAAACCCGGCGAGCCGUUGAAACGGUCGGACUAGAGAAGGCGAGAAGUACGCGGAAUGCGCGGUGUAGCGGUGAAAUGCAUAGAUAUCGCGCAGAACUCCGAUUGCGAAGGCAGCGUACCGGCGCCGGACUGACGCUGAGGCACGAAAGCGGGGGUAUCGAACAGGAUUAGAUACCCUAGUAGUC